rnacentral:rRNA from 1 species
UACGUAGGCAGCAAGCGUUGUUCGGAGUUACUGGGCGUAAAGGGUGCGUAGGCGGUUGUUUAAGUUUGGCGUGAAAUCUCCCGGCUCAACUGGGAGGGUGCGCCGAAUACUGAAUGACUAGAGUGCGGGAGAGGAGAGUGGAAUUCCUGGUGUAGCGGUGAAAUGCGUAGAUAUCAGGAGGAACACCGGUGGUGUAGACGGCUCUCUGGACCGUAACUGACGCUGAGGCACGAAAGCGUGGGUAGCAAACAGG